UACGAAGGGGGCUAGCGUUGCUCGGAAUUACUGGGCGUAAAGCGCACGUAGGCGGAUUGUUAAGUCGGGGGUGAAAUCCUGGAGCUCAACUCCAGAACUGCCUUCGAUACUGGCGAUCUCGAGUUCGGGAGAGGUGAGUGGAACUGCGAGUGUAGAGGUGAAAUUCGUAGAUAUUCGCAAGAACACCAGUGGCGAAGGCGGCUCACUGGCCCGAUACUGACGCUGAUGUGCGAAAGCGUGGGGAGCAAACAGGAUUGAGAAACCC
rnacentral:rRNA from 1 species